CUGUUUUCCUGCCCCAAGCUCUCUAGGACAGCCUUCCACCUCACGGUGUACACCAUGCUCUCCCCUUCUGUCACCUGACUCUUCUUCAUUUGACUAGAGUGGGCCUGCUCAUCUUAGCAGCCUGGCACGUAAUUCGUAUUUGUGGCAAAUGGAAAAGUGAAUAUGCAGUCUCCUCAGCCAUCUGAACCUUUUCUGUAUGGGAAGAUUAGACUCCGGAACAGUCACUUGUCCCAAAACACAGCAGCUGUCAUCUUUUUUGGCCGUCCGCAGAUCUCAGCUUUCUUCCUGCGUUUGGGGGUUUGUCACCGAUGAGCUUGUUGAGAAGCAAACCAUGUGUUUUGUUGGGGAGGUGAAGACUCCGAUACUUUGUCUUUCCAUGUAAUUCUAAUUUUACAAAUAAAUAUUCCCGCUACAGAAGUGAGACCCACAUGCUAUAUAACAACAUCUCUGGAACGUUGUCAGCAACUUGAUGUGAAGCCUCAUUGGGCGCCGUGAAAGCUGUGAGCUUGCAUCCCUGAACAGCUGGCACCAUACAAGCAGACUUAAAUCCUGAAAACAUGGAAGCAGCAAUUACUUAGACUCCAGGGAAGGCCACAAAGCAGGCCCUGGAGGUGGAACUCUGGUCUUCAGGCUUGGCGGCAUGUGCCUUCUUCACUCUCAAGCCAUC